GCUGGGAACAGUGAUGUGCGUCUGUAGUCCCAGCUGCUCAGGCCGGCUGAGGCUGGAGGCUCACUUGAGCCUAGGAGUUCUGAGCCGUAGUGCACUGUGCCAAUUGGGCAUCUGCACUAAGUUUGGCAUCAAUAUGAUGACCUCCUGGGAGCUGGGGACCACCAGGUUGCCUAAGGAGGAGCGAACUGCCCAGGUCAGAAAUGGAGCAGGAAAAACUCCCUUGAUGAUCAGUAGUGCGAUAGUGCCUGUGAAUAGCCACUGCACUCCAGCCUGGGCAAUAGCAUAAGACCCCAUCUCUU
ensembl:misc_RNA Metazoa_SRP Metazoan signal recognition particle RNA